rnacentral:tRNA from 1 species
UAUAUUAUAGUCAAUUUAUAUGACGUUAGACUGCAAUUCUAAAAGAAUAUUAUUUUAUAUUAAUAUAU